UAGCCGUAAACGAUACUCGCUAGGUGUCGGCCACGGUGCGACCGUUGUCGGUGCCGUAGGGAAGCGUGAAGCGAGCCACCUGGGAAGUACGGCCGCAAGGCUGAAACUUAAAGGAAUUGGCGGGGGAGCACCACAACGGGUGGAGCUUGCGGUUUAAUUGGAUUCAACGCCGGAAAUCUUACCGGGACCGACAGCAACAUGAAGGCCAAGCUGAAGACUUUGCCGGAUUAGCUGAGAGGAGGUGCAUGGCGUAGUCGUGU
rnacentral:rRNA from 1 species